UGUGAUCCUUUGCUAAGGUAUUGU
rnacentral:piRNA from 1 species